UGGUAUUGCAGUACUUCCAGGAACG
rnacentral:piRNA from 3 species